AGUAGAAAUUAUGGGAGCUUGUGUUACAGGCUGAGAGGAAGAUAUAAUCUUCGACCAUUACCUGAUUUGGAUAAUGCCAACGUAGGGAUAUAUUUAUUAAUGUAU
rnacentral:ncRNA from 2 species